AGAGUUUGAUCCUGGCUCAGGACGAACGCUGGCGGCGUGCCUAACACAUGCAAGUCGAGCGAUGAAAUCCUUCGGGAUGGAUUAGCGGCGGACGGGUGAGUAACACGUGGGUAACCUGCCUCAAAGAGGGGAAUAGCCUUCCGAAAGGAAGAUUAAUACCGCAUAAUAUGUUUUGGUCGCAUGAUCGAGACAUCAAAGGAGCAAUCCGCUUUGAGAUGGACCCGCGGCGCAUUAGCUAGUUGGUGAGGUAACGGCUCACCAAGGCGACGAUGCGUAGCCGACCUGAGAGGGUGAUCGGCCACAUUGGAACUGAGACACGGUCCAGACUCCUACGGGAGGCAGCAGUGGGGAAUAUUGCGCAAUGGGGAAACCCUGACGCAGCAACGCCGCGUGAAUGAUGAAGGCCUUCGGGUUGUAAAGUUCUGUCUUCUGGGAUGAUAAUGACGGUACCAGAGGAGGAAGCCACGGCUAACUACGUGCCAGCAGCCGCGGUAAUA
rnacentral:rRNA from 1 species